UUCUUCCUCUGUUUAGUGUUUAUUCGGUUCUGCCCAUGUAUUCCUGUGUUAAGUCCGCGUUUCUUAGUCUGUGUCCUUGCAUGUGUAAGUUCCUGUUUUAUUGUGAAAGUCUGUGUCUUAUGUCAGUGUGUUCCCCUCCUGUUUCCCAUCCCCUGAUUCCUGCCGUGUGUAUUUAUAGUGUGUGUUACCUCGUCUUCGUUGCUGGUUCGUCUGUGUUGUUUCCCCUCGGUCUCUCUGCGCCUCUCCGUAUGUAUUUCCCCGGGCCUCCCUGCGUCUUCGUUUCUGGUUUGUUUUGUUAGUUUUACCCAGUUUAGGUUUUCCAGUUUCAUGUUCACCCACCAUUGCUGUUUGUACCCACUCCUGUAAAUAAAUACUCACCUGCGCCAGAG